rnacentral:rRNA from 1 species
AACGUAGGACACAAGCGUUAUCCGGAGUUACUGGGCGUAAAGGGCGCGUAGGCGGGUUGCCAAGUCUGUGGUGAAAUCCUCCAGCUUAACUGGAGAACGGCCGUGGAUACUGGCGACCUCGAGGGGGGUAGGGGCUUGCGGAACUGUGCGUGGAGCGGUGAAAUGCGUUGAUAUGCACAGGAACUCCGGUGGCGAAGGCGGCGAGCUGGACCCUUUCUGACGCUGAGGCGCGAAAGCCAGGGGAGCGAACGGG